GGCAGGCCACAAUAAUGGCCACGAACCUACUCCACCUCCUGCGACGGAUACCAGGCGAUUCUCCCACCCGCUGGCAAGUCACGACAACGGACGCUGCUCCACUCCCCGCAACUGAUUCCACAUGGCGAGCUACGGAGAUAGCCACGAUUCAGCUCCACUACCCCUCGCAAUAAAUUCUCCCUGACUACGGGCGGCCCACGACCAGACGGUUACAGACGUCGCCAUCAAUCCGUUACCUCCUCCGCCUAUAAAAGGGGGACCCAGAUACGUUAUUCUCUAAGCUCAUUUCUUAUCUCAAAACUCUGCUAAAUUCUCCGUUCGAGUACUCCAUUCUUGUUGAGGCAGAGAACUGACUUGAGCGUCAGAGGGUCUUGCCG
rnacentral:lncRNA from 1 species